rnacentral:tRNA from 2 species
CGGGACGUAGCGCAGCUUGGUAGCGCACCUGAUUUGGGAUCAGGUGGUCGCAGGUUCAAAUCCUGUCGUCCCGACCA